GUCCACGCCGUAAACGUUGGGUGCUAGACGUCGGGGGUAUUGACCCCCUCGGUGUCGAAGCUAACGCAUUAAGCACCCCGCCUGGGGAGUACGGCCGCAAGGCUAAAACUCAAAGGAAUUGACGGGGGCCCGCACAAGCGGUGGAGCAUGUGGUUCAAUUCGAAGCAACGCGCAGAACCUUACCUGGACUUGACAUCUACGGAACCUCCUGGAAACAGGAGGGUCCCUUCGGGACCGUAAGACAGGUGCUGCAUGGCUGUCGU
rnacentral:rRNA from 1 species